AUGAUUCUUCGCCCAACCGAAAAUGAGCAUAUGUUUUUCAAUAGGAAAGGAAGGCACACUAUAAAUGCAAUGAUUAUUUGUGAUGAAAAGUACAAAAUACUAUCCAUCAAUGCAAAAUAUGGUGGAUGCUCACAUGAUAGCUUUGUAUGGAGGCAGAGUAAACAAAGAGAAAAGUUAAAUUUGGAGUACUGUGCAAGCAGAACAACAUCGACAUGGCUCCUCGGUGAUAGUGGCUAUCCUUUGGAGCCCUUCUUAAUAACACCGUAUAGAACUGCAGCAGAUCACUCACCAGAAGCACACUUUAAUUAUAAACACUCCCAAGCUAGAAGCACCAUAGAACGAUGCAUUGGUGUGAUGAAGAGUAAUAUUUUCGU